GAUGAAGCCGCUUCGGUGGUGGAUUAGUGGCGAACGGGUGAGUAACACGUGGGCAAUCUGCCCUUCACUCUGGGACAAGCCCUGGAAACGGGGUCUAAUACCGGAUAAUACUCCUGCCUGCAUGGGUGGGGGUUGAAAGCUCCGGCGGUGAAGGAUGAGCCCGCGGCCUAUCAGCUUGUUGGUGGGGUAAUGGCCUACCAAGGCGACGACGGGUAGCCGGCCUGAGAGGGCGACCGGCCACACUGGGACUGAGACACGGCCCAGACUCCUACGGGAGGCAGCAGUGGGGAAUAUUGCACAAUGGGCGAAAGCCUGAUGCAGCGACGCCGCGUGAGGGAUGACGGCCUUCGGGUUGUAAACCUCUUUCAGCAGGGAAGAAGCGCAAGUGACGGUACCUGCAGAAGAAGCGCCGGCUAACUACGUGCCAGCAGCCGCGGUAAUACGUAGGGCGCAAGCGUUGUCCGGAAUUAUUGGGCGUAAAGAGCUCGUAGGCGGCUUGUCACGUCGGAUGUGAAAGCCCGGGGCUUAACCCCGGGUCUGCAUUCGAUACGGGCUAGCUAGAGUGUGGUAGGGGAGAUCGGAAUUCCUGGUGUAGCGGUGAAAUGCGCAGAUAUCAGGAGGAACACCGGUGGCGAAGGCGGAUCUCUGGGCCAUUACUGACGCUGAGGAGCGAAAGCGUGGGGAGCGAACAGGAUUAGAUACCCUGGUAGUCCACGCCGUAAACGUUGGGAACUAGGUGUUGGCGACAUUCCACGUCGUCGGUGCCGCAGCUAACGCAUUAAGUUCCCCGCCUGGGGGA
rnacentral:rRNA from 1 species